GAAUGUAUAACUCAAUCGGUAGAGUAUGGAACUUUUAAUUCUAAAGUUUAGGGUUCAAGUCCCUAUGCGUUCA
rnacentral:tRNA from 1 species